rnacentral:rRNA from 1 species
GACAGAGGGUGCAACCGUUGUUCGGAAUUACUGGGCGUAAAGCGAGUGUAGGCGGUUUCCUAAGUCGGAUGUGAAAGCCCCGGGCUCAACCCGGGAAGUGCACUCGAAACUGGGAGGCUAGAGUAUCGGAGAGGUUGGUGGAAUUCUCGGUGUAGAGGUGAAAUUCGUAGAUAUCGAGAGGAACACCGGUGGCGAAGGCGGCCAACUGGACGAAUACUGACGCUGAGACUCGAAAGCGUGGGGAGCAAACAGG